rnacentral:rRNA from 1 species
AGAGUUUGAUCCUGGCUCAGGACGAACGCUGGCGGCGUGCUUAACACAUGCAAGUCGAACGGACCUUAUUUGGAGGAAGCUUUCGGGUAGACACUGAAUAAGGUUAGUGGCGGACGGGUGAGUAACGCGUAGAUAAUCUACCUUAAAGACUGGGACAACAGUUGGAAACGACUGCUAAUACCGGAUAAGCUAAACGGAAGGCAUCUUCUGUUUAGGAAAGGAGGCCUCUUAACAAUGCUCCCGCUUUUAGAUGAGUCUGCGUCUGAUUAGCUAGUUGGUGGGGUAACGGCUUACCAAGGCGACGAUCAGUAGUCGGCCUGAGAGGGUGACCGGCCACAUUGGGACUGAGACACGGCCCAAACUCCUACGGGAGGCAGCAGUGGGGAAUCUUCCGCAAUGGGCGAAAGCCUGACGGAGCAACGCCGCGUGAUCGAAUGAAGGCCUUCGGGUUGUAAAGAUCUGUUGACAGGGACGAAUAAGCCAUGCGAAUAGUUUGGUGUAUGACGGUACCUGUUUAGAAAGCUCCGGCUAACUACGUGCCAGCAGCCGCGGUAAUACGUAGGGAGCAAGCGUUGUCCGGAAUUACUGGGCGUAAAGGGCGCGUAGGUGGGUGCUUAAGUCAGGUGUGAAAACUCUGGGCUCAACCUGGAGACUGCACUUGAAACUGGGUAUCUUGAGGGCAGGAGAGGAAAGUGGAAUUUCUAGUGUAGCGGUGAAAUGCGUAGAUAUUAGGAGGAACACCAGUGGCGAAGGCGACUUUCUGGACUGUACCUGACGCUGAGGCGCGAAAGCGUGGGUAGCGAACGGGAUUAGAUACCCCGGUAGUCCACGCCGUAAACGAUGAAUACUAGGUGUAGGAGGUAUCGACUCCUUCUGUGCCGCAGCAAACGCAAUAAGUAUUCCGCCUGGGGACUACGGUCGCAAGACUAAAACUCAAAGGAAUUGACGGGGACCCGCACAAGCGGUGGAGCAUGUGGUUUAAUUCGACGCAACGCGAAGAACCUUACCAGGGCUUGACAUCCCUCGCUAUCUGUGGAAACACGGAGUUCCGUAGCUUGCUACGGACGAGGAGACAGGUGGUGCAUGGUUGUCGUCAGCUCGUGUCGUGAGAUGUUGGGUUAAGUCCCGCAACGAGCGCAACCCCUACGUCCAGUUGCCAGCACGUUAAGGUGGGAACUCUGGAGGAACUGCCGGUGACAAACCGGAGGAAGGUGGGGAUGACGUCAAAUCAUCAUGCCCUUUAUGUUCUGGGCUACACACGUGCUACAAUGGCCGGUACAGAGGGCGGCGAAGCCGCGAGGUGGAGCGAAUCCCAAAAAGCCGGUCUAAGUUCGGAUUGCAGGCUGCAACCCGCCUGCAUGAAGUCGGAAUCGCUAGUAAUCGCGAGUCAGCAUAUCGCGGUGAAUACGUUCCCGGGUCUUGUACACACCGCCCGUCACACCAUGGGAGUUGGCAACACCCGAAGUCGAUGAGCUAACCGCAAGGAGGCAGUCGCCUAAGGUGGGGUUGAUAACUGGGGUGAAGUCGUAAC